GAUGAACGCUCGCUGUGUGCCUAAUACAUGCAUGUUGAACGGGAUGUAGCAAUACAUUCAGUAGCGAAUGGGUGAGUAACACGUACCUAACCUACCUUUAAGACUGGGAUAACUAUUGGAAACAAUAGCUAAUACCGGAUAUAGUUAUUUAUCGCAUGAUGAGUAAUAGAAAGGAGCUUCACAGCUUCACUUAAAAAUGGGGGUGCGGAACAUUAGUUAGUUGGUAGGGUAAUGGCCUACCAAGACGAUGAUGUUUAGCCGGGCCGAGAGGCUGUACGGCCACACUGGGACUGAGAUACGGCCCAGACUCCUACGGGAGGCAGCAGUAAGGAAUUUUCCACAAUGAGCGAAAGCUUGAUGGAGCGACACAGCGUGCAGGAUGAAGUUCUUCGGAAUGUAAACUGCUGUUAUAAGGGAAGAAAAAAUAGAAUAGGAAAUGAUUUUAUCUUGACGGUACCUUAUUAGAAAGCGACGGCAAACUAUGUGCCAGCAGCCGCGGUAAUACAUAGGUCGCAAGCGUUAUCCGGAAUUAUUGGGCGUAAAGCGUCCGUAGGUUUUUUGCUAAGUCUGGAGUUAAAUGCUGAAGCUCAACUUCAGUCCGCUUUGGAUACUGGCAAAAUAGAAUUAUAAAGAGGUUAGCGGAAUUCCUAGUGAAGCGGUGGAAUGCGUAGAUAUUAGGAAGAACACCAAUAGGCGAAGGCAGCUAACUGGUUAUAUAUUGACACUAAAGGGACGAAAGCGUGGGGAGCAAACAGG
rnacentral:rRNA from 1 species